ensembl:ncRNA T03F7.13 ncRNA
UUUUUUCUUUCUUCAAUUGCCUCAUUUAUUCAAGGAUGAGCACAUACUUAUGCUGGCGUUUUUGAAUAAAAAUUGAGCAAAAAUGAAGAAGAAUUCCGCAUAUUGGAAGAAGAGGAAGAA